GCCGGAUGAGGUUCUGAUGAGUUUCCAGUGUGGCUGUAGCAGAAUCUAGGUAUAAUCUAGGUUUAAUCUAAUCCAUCCACUCCAGUCUUGUUAGAAAGGUCACUUCAUACCCCUCAAUUAUAUGGAAGAUUUCGCUGUUUUUUUUGUUUUGUUCACUGUAUAUGUCCAUUAAUUUGUUAUUAACAUAUAAUAUCUGUCAUAAAAUUGGAGAAUUUCCUCACUACAGACAAAUACGAGCGUUUCUGCAUUUCACUGGUAGGUGGGCCAUCUAUAUUUCCUUGUUGUAAGCAAACCACAAUAUCCAGAAUAUAUUCAUAGUGAUUUCAGGACGUAGUACCGCCCCUGUCGAGGUGGAUCCAGUUGACAAUGGGUGUCAACAGGUAGAUAACGUUAGUCACUGGACCAGCCACUCGUUCAUAGAACAUCAGCUUGCAAAACCGUAUUUCUUUUUAUUUUUGUGUCAACAACAACUGUAAAGUUUAGUCAUGGUGUGGUGCUCACUACCUGGAUGUCCAAACUACAAGGCAGCACAGGCUGCUGGGGUAACAUUUCAUUGAUUACCUUACUAAGAAGUCGAGCAGAGGUAACUAUCUAGCGAACUACAUUUGUUUAUCUGAACCAAAAUCAAGUUAGUUUUCAUAAUACGCUGGCUAGACAUUCCAAAGCAAAUCAAUACAAUUAGCUAGCUGCUAUCUGGCAAUGUGAUUUGUAAAUUUGCAAGCUAACGUUUGCAACGUUAGGUUAUGUUGGCUUCAGUUUACCGGACUAUCUAACCAUUAGCUAGCUAACUAACUACCACAGAGGCUAAAGUGACUUGACUAUGUGUUCUAUUUGAAUAGUCAGAUCCCAUAAACGUCUGCAGCGGCAUCAACACCAAGCCCAGCACCAGGAACUAAUACGAAUCCUGCUGCUGCUAAUGAUGAUGAACUUGACACCAGCUUGAGUAGUACAGAUCCUGUAGACCCAUUGGAUGAAAGCUUUCAGCCAGGAAUAAGCUCAACAUCAUCUGACUCGGAAGAGGAAAAGACUGCACGCGGCUGGCAUGAUCCAAAGUGUAUAGUCUACGAGUCCAAGGUCAUGGAGCUCAUGAAGUUCUGCCAGACCAUCUGCCAUUGCCCAACACAAGAUGAGGUUCACCAGCUAAAGAACAUUCAGGACGCUGCCUGGAACAUUCAGCCAACACAACAUCCAUAUUCAGUUAGACUGAUGUUGUAGUAUAAUAAAGAAUGUCUAGUAUACUCACAACUACUUUGUGGUAUAGAUAUUGCUUGUACAUAUGUAUAUCAUGGAGUUUGAUCAAUUGUUUUAUGUAAUAUUUUUUACAAGUGUACUGACAAGUGACUCAAUGAUUUCAACUGCAUCAAAAACCAAUAAAUUGUUGACUUCCACUUCUGGAUCAAUUCAUUGUGAUAUUCAUUAAAUGUACAAUACCGUUGAAACGUUUGGGGUCACUUAGAAAUGUCCUUGUUUUUGAAAGAAAAGUGAAUUUUUGGUCCAUUAAAAUAACACCAAAUUGAUCAGAAAUACAGUGUAGACAUUAUUAAUGUUGUAAAUGACUAUUGUAGCUGGAAACUUCAGAUUUCUUUUAAUGGAAUAUCUACAUAGGCGUACAAAGGCCCAUUAUCAGCAACCAUCACUCCUGUGUUCCAACGGCACGUUGUGUUACGUAUCCAAGUUGAUCCUUUUAAAAGGCUAAUUGGUCAUUAGAAAACCCUUUUGCAAUUAUGUUAGCACAGCUGAAAACUGUUGUGCUGAUUAAAAGAAGCAAUACAACUGGCCUUCUUUAGACUAGUUGAGUAUCUGGAGCAUCAGCAUUUGUGGGUUUGAUUACUGGCUCAAAAUGUCCAGAAACAAAUAACUUUCUUCUGAAACUCGUUAUUCUAUUCUUGUUCUGAGAAAUGAAAGCUAUUCCAUGCAAGAUAUUGCCAAGAAACUGAAGAUCUCGUACAACGCUGUGUACUACUCCCUACACAGAACAGCGCAAACUAGCUCUAACUAGAAUAGAAAGAGGAGUGUGAGGCCCUGGUGCACAACUGAGGAAGAGGACAAGUACAUUAGAGUGUCUAGUUUGAGAAACAGGCGCCUCACAAGUCCUCAACUGGCAGCUUCAUUAAAUAGUACCCGCAAAACACCAGUCUCAACGUCAACAGUGAAGAAUAGGCAACUCUGGGAUGCUGGCCUUCUAGGCAGAGUUCCUCUGUCCAGUGUCUGUUCUUUUGCCCAUCUUAAUCCUUUCUUUUUAUUGGCCAGUCUGAGAUAUGGCUUUUUCUUUGCAACUCUGCCUAGAAGGCCAGCAUCCUGGGGUCGCCUUUUUUGGAACCAAAAAUCUCACAUUUGGACUCAUCAGACCAAAUGACAGGUUUCCACCGGUCUAAUGUCCAUUGCUCGUGUUUCAUGGCCCAAGCAAGUCUCUUCUUCUUAUUGGUGUCCUUUAUUAGUGGUUUCUUUGCAGCAAUUCAUCCUUGAAGGUCUUUCAUGCAGUCUCCUAUAAACAGUUGAUGUUGAGAUGUGUCUGUUGCUUGAACUCUGUGAAGAAUUUAUUUGGGCUGCAAUCUGACGUGUAGUUAACUCUAAUGAACUUAUCCUCUGCAGCAGAGGUAUCUCUGGGUCUUCCUUUCCUGUGGCGGUUCUCAUGAGAGCCAUUUUCAUCAUAGCGCUUGAUGGUUUUUUGCGACUGCACUUGAAGAAACUUUCAAAGUUCUUGAAAUUUUCCGGAUUGACUGACAUUCAUGUCUUAUUGUAAUGAUGGAGUGUCAUUUUUUCUUAUUUGAGCAGUUCUUGCCAUAAUAUGGACAUGGUCUUUUACCAAAUAGGGAUAUCUUCUGUAUACCACCCCUACCUUGUCACAACACAUCUGAUUGGCUCAAACGCAUAAAGAAGGAAAGAAAUUCCACAAAUUAACUUUUAACAAGGCACACCUGUUAAUUGAAAUAUGUGGGAACUCCUUCAAGACUGUUGGCAAACCAUUCCUCAUGAAGCUAGUUGAGAGAAUGUGUGUCAUCUGUCAUCAAGGCAAAGGGUGGCUACUUUGAAGAAUCUAAAAUAUAAAUUAUAUUUAGAUUUCUUUAACACUUUUUUGGUUACUACAUGAUUAUAUAUGUGUUAU
rnacentral:lncRNA from 8 species